UAAAUUGCGAUGAAAAGGAAUAGUAAUUGAUGAUUUGCUUUAUAGAGAGUCGGUCAUGGUGGAACCCGAUAGCAAUUGAUCAAUGAAUGGGCCCUUGGAGCACAUAGUAAAUCGGCUAUAACGAUAUUGAGGGCUAGAAUUCAUUCUAGAACUAAGGUGGUACCGCGUUUAAUGACGUCCUUAGA
rfam:Tenericutes bacterium GWD2_38_27 gwd2_scaffold_3685, whole genome shotgun sequence.